rnacentral:rRNA from 1 species
UACAGAGGGUGCUAGCGUUAAUCGGAUUUACUGGGCGUAAAGCGUGCGUAGGCGGUUUGAUAAGUCGAUUGUGAAAGCCCUGGGCGUCAACCUACGGAAUUGCGGUCGAUACUGUCAGACUAGAAAACGGUAGAGGGAGGUGGAACUCCAGGUGUAGCGGUGAAAUGCGUAGAUAUCUGGAAGAACACCGAUGGCGAAGGCAGCCUCCUGGGGCCUGUUUUUGACGCUGA